ensembl:lincRNA
CCCCAACGAGAUCUUAAGUAACUUUAGAGAUUAUAAAGAUGUUAAAUUGGAGUGGAGAUCUGAACUACACCUGCCAUUCAAACUAUAUUCUCUCAUUUAUGUGUGUCAGUUUAAUGUUUUCCAGCCAGCACAGACGCAACUCACAGUCCUGUUAUGACCUUCACAGCUAACUGCGACUUGAAAAGUCUUAGGAAAACAGCUCUCAACCUUGUCAUCCAUCUGGAACUUCUCAACAAAUCUAAGACAGGAGCUGGGGAAAAUGCUUACUUGGUAAACUGCAAGCAGGAAGACCCAAGCUCUCAGAUCCCAGUGCAUGGAUGGUCAAAUUAGCUUUCACUGAGCUUUCAUUAGCUGAAAAGAAAACUAGUCCGUCUAGCUGUCAUGGCAUUUGUGGUGAUGAAUCAAGAGGAUCACAAAGCAUAGGAAACAGCAAUCAUCCGCACCUGUUGCCAAUUAAAGCAUUAAUGGCACAUCAAUCAAAGAGAAAUCACUGGGAAUGGAGAUGACACAGGCUCUGUGCUCCUGUCAGUUUUUUGGAAGUCAUCCUCUAUUUCAACAGUAAGUGAAACCCGCAAGCCACACCCUCCAAAUGCAGUCUCUACUUCUUGGAACAGAUUUCAGCAGCUGAAUUCUUCAGUUUGCAAGGCCACAUGCACUUCCCUGUAGAGAAAUUGUUGUCUUAGAUUUAAAAAGUAACAAUGUUACUAUCUUAGUUGUUUUUCUGUAGCUGGGAUGAAAUACUCUGACAAAGAGAAUUUAAGAGCAAGUAGAUUCAUCUCAGGUCACAGUUUGAGGUAUAGCCCACCACGACAGGAGCUUGAGGCAGCUGGUCAUGGUCAAGAAACAGAACAAUGAAUGCUCGUGUUCAGCUCACUUUCUCCUGUCCAGGGUCUAAGCCAAGAGAAUGGUGCCACUCACAGUGGCAGGUCUCCCCAGCCCAACUAAUUUAAUCAAGAUAUUCUCCACAGGCAUGCCCAGAGGGCCAUCUCUGACAUCUUAUCAACUUGACAACUGAGUUAAAUUAUCAGUUUCUACACAUGUGUAGAGUGGUUGGGGACUGUUCAUAUUUUUUUUUUUUAACCAAGCUUGAUAAGACUUAAUGACCAGGAUUACAUAAAGCAGGGUAGUGCUAACUGUUCAAGAAGUAUGGUACUGGCCCUGUCUGUAUAGGUUUCUCUGUGAACACAGGAGGCAGUCAUAGCACCCACACCAAGAAGUCUACUGAGGAGGAGGCUGGGCUUUCUAGCAUCUUGUUAUGACUGGGUCAAUGGUGCUCAAGCAUGGCUUGCAUUGAGAUUUGAGAUGAGGCUGGAGGUUGUGAGCAAAAGGAGUAAUAAGUGCAUGGAUUACUGAAGCAGAUGUAUUCAGGUUCCGGGUCCCCGUCUGUCCGGGGUUUAUACUCUUAGUUGAUCUAAUGACCGGUAGCCCAUGGUCUAGGGUUCUAACUGUGAACGUUGAGCAGAUGUGACAUAAAGUAAAGAGGGUGACCAUGUCUCUGACAUAUACGAUGGACAGGUUGAUCAGGAGUGGCCAACUUUCUGAUAUUAACGGACAGUGUUGCCAUGUACAAAAUUUGUGCUUUGGAAUUCUAUAAGCAAGGUCCUUUUUAUUUGUCUUUUGUGUGUAUAUGUGUGUGCUUAUUUCCAUACACACAUCACAAAGCUUCCUCAUGCUUUGUGUUCAUAGCUACCUUGGACUGAAUCCAUCCAGUGGAGUGUGGGUUGCAUAUGCCUGUUAGAAGACAGAGGCAAAUUAUAGGUGUCCAAUUCAUCUCUGCUGAUUAAUGGAAUAAAGAAGACCCAGUGCCUGCCUGUCACCUGUCCAAUCAAAAUAUAAAAGAAAUGGACCCAGUACUUCCCAAAUUUUAGCCGUGUCUUGUUUACCUGCCUCAGAGGAUACAUGCCGUUCUCUAUCAGUGGUGCUUUUUGUAAGCUGAGCUAGAGAGAAAACUUUUUGUAAGCUGAGCUAGAGAGAAAACUCAAUCCCAUUUUCUUGUUUACUAAUGGCUACAGUUUGGACUAGGGUUCCUCAAAGAAUCAUAUGUAAGGGCUUGUUCUCAGGGAUGCUGGUAUCUGGUGGUCCUGUGGGAUUUUAAGAGAUGGGGCACUGUUGGAUACCCUGAGGGCAUAAUGGUUGUACAACCUCCACUAGAGGUCUAAGCCAUUGGGGUCGGCCAAUUGGGAACUUCUGAAAUUUCCACAGCCAUUAGUCAAAAGAAAUAUCAUAAUUUCAUAAAAAUCUGUGUUAGGAAUAAAGAGAUGCAAAGCUGACUAACACUAUAAUUCAGGUAUCCCCAAUCUUAAAAUAAUAUCUCAAAAUAAAAAUAGUAUCUCAAAUAUUUUGAAUGGCCAAAGAUGGAGGGAAAGUGGGAUGUCUAAUACAAGGGCUUUUAGCAAUAGGACGCUGUGAAGUUACCAUAAAGCCUGCCUAGGAUUUUCCAUCCUUUCGUGCAGCAUACUAUAUAGAUGUAGUUCAUAUUACCUGUCCAAUGUAUACUCUGCAGAAAUUGAGACUUUUUUCCAUUCCUCAUGCUGAAGGACAUGGCAGAGCAUUGCACUUCAUCCACAGGCAACCUGGAUUAUCCAUCAGUGGGCAUAUGUCUGGUAAGUCCAAGCACAUUGUUUAAUGUCAGAAUUCAGUGUCUAAAUGUUUGUUGUUCCUCUGGGGUUUCAAACCCAGAGUUUCUAGAAACUGACCUCUACUAGGUGAAGUCCUUUCUGUAGCACCCCGGAAGCACAGGAUACCCCAUGUCCUAGACAAGGGAGAAUCUGGAUGAGACAGAAGAAGAUGAAGGGAGAAUCCUUCAUCCAGAGCCUCUAAGCUUGCAGACCCCACAUCUAUGCCGCUCUUGCCUGUGCUGCCCUGCUUCUUCACUCUCUCUUCUCCCUUCAGGGACCCUUUCCUCUGCCCUCUACUUACUUCCUCCCUCUCUCUCCACACACUCCCCCUCUCCUCCUCCUGUCCUUUUGUAUUCACUCCCUUCCCUCUCUACUUCUCUUUACUCUCUUCCUUCACUCAAUUCUAAAAUCUCAGAAGUAUCUUUUGCAGUCUUUCUAGACAAUGAAUUUUUAAAAGUAAUUUGAGUUAAGUUUCUUGUUGCCUAUAUCUGAAAGUUCCUAAUAACUGAUUCCCUGGAUUCUGAAACAUUUUCCCGAGUGUCGCUGCCAUUUCACUAUGUCCAGAAGAGGUACACACAUAUAUAAUUAGAAAUAACUGUUUGCAUAAGUGGACACAUUUGACGUUUAGUUUUCAGCACACUGUUUGCAUACAUGAGGGUUUAACUAGCUUGCCACUACUCUCAUCUUGUGUUAUGAUAAAUCUUUUUGCCAAAAGCCACCUGAGCCCUACUGCCAUGUGGGCGCUUUCCACCAGCCACCCAAGUUCUGCCCGCCUAGUUAGGGCCCAAAAUAAUAUACAGAGACUUAUAUUUGGUACAAAUGCUGCUUGCCCAAUAGCUAGGAUUUCUCAUCUGCUGGCUCAGUCUUAAUUAUCAUAAAUAUAUAUAUUUUAUAAGAUUUAUCUUAUAGAGGAUGCCUUCUGCUGGUGCCCUCUCUUUCUGGUGGAUCCUUU